CCAAGGAGUCUAACAUGUGCGCGAGUCAUUGGGAUCGCAAAACCUAAAGGCAUAAUGAAAGUGAAGGUCGACCUUGCGUCGACUAAGGGAGGAUGGGCUUCAUCACGAUGAAGCCUCGCACUCCCGGGGCGUCUCGUACUCAUUGCGAGUAGAGGCGCACCCAGAGCGUACACGUUGGGACCCGAAAGAUGGUGAACUAUGCCUGGUCAGGACGAAGUCAGGGGAAACCCUGAUGGAGGUCCGUAGCGAUUCUGACGUGCAAAUCGAUCGUCGGAACUGGGUAUAGGGGCGAAAGACUAAUCGAACCAUCUAGUAGCUGGUUCCCUCCGAAGUUUCCCUCAGGAUAGCUGGCACUCGCGUGAGCGAGUCUCAUCUGGUAAAGCGAAUGAUUAGAGGCCUUGGGGCCGAAACGACCUCAACCUAUUCUCAAACUUUAAAUGGGUGAGAUCUCUGGCUUGCUUGAACGAUGAAGCCACGAGAUUUCGGAUCAGAGUGCCAAGUGGGCCAAUUUU
rnacentral:rRNA from 1 species